rnacentral:lncRNA from 1 species
GUUACGCUACGCCACGCCCCCGGAGGUUCCUAACCCUGCGUGAGGCUCUUUCACCUGCCUCAGGUUAAGUAGGCAGACCCCGCGGGCGGGAUGGUCAAAGAUAUUUAGUUCCCGGUACCGGAGGGCUAGGUGCCAGGGGCAAUGGGGAAACAGCCAAAUGGCGUGGGUUGAGUGGAAGAUGUUGCUGGACUGAAAAAAGGCACAGCCCAGUUGCUGUCCUGCCAGAUGUCCUCCAGUUAGAGGAUGAGGCCAGAAUUUGGGCGCAUCAGCCACCGUUUGAUUUCAUGACAUGAUUUUACCUCUCUCAGGCAUACAGAUCUGACUUCAGUUGUGAAGUUCAUAGGGUUCAUAUUUUUGAAAGUUGGGCUAAUGGUCUGUUAAUAUCCAAUGCUCAGGUAAAACUUAAAACCCACAGACAGUGUUUACAGUUAGUUAUAAGGCUAACUGCUACUUGUAUCAUAGUUGACAUAUUCUUUAGAGUUUGGAAGACCCUCGCCAUUAUUUUUUUUUCUUUUUUUUCAUCAUAAGCAGACAAGGAUAUAGAUUCAAAGAACGAGGAUAUCUAACCAAACUCACUGAGUCAUUUUAUAACUGUACAGGAAAGUCAAAAUAAUUCUAUCACCUUGACAUAUGUUUUUUGCAGCACACCAUGGUAAUUUACACAUAAGUAUAGGAAAGGGUUUUUUAUUGUUUUUUUCUCUUUAAUUUUCACACCGAAUUAUACACACAGACACACACACAUAGAACAGGUACUUUCCAUGACACACCAACUCUUUACCAGAAAGAGUAGAAAAUAAUGAAUGACCAUUAUACCACACAACAACCUGCAAGUUGUUUAUCAUUUUCUCUGCUCUUUUUUUUUUUUUUUUUUUGAGUCUCUGUCGCCCAGACUGGAGUGGAAUGGUGGGAUCUCGACUCACUGCAACCUCCACCUCCUGGUUCAAGAGAUUCUCCUGCCUUGGCCUCCCGAGUAGCUAAAAUUACAGGCAUGUGCCACCAGGCCCAGCUAAUCUUUGUAAUUUUAAUAGAGACGGGGUUUCACCAUGCUGGCCAGGCUGGUCUCAAACUCCUGACUUCAACUGAUCUGACUCUCUAGCCUCCCAAAGUGCUGGGAUUACAGGCGUGAGCCACCACGCCCAGCCCAUUUUCUCUGUUUUAAAGAGUAAAUCAAGGUUCCUAGGGUUGAAACAACUCUCCAUGUUCUCACAAAUAAAAAGCCAGGAUAAAGACUAGUAAUUUGGCUUCUAGAGCCAAUACCUUGUCCUUGACCAUAGCAUAUUUCUUCAAUAAAUCCAUGAGAUUCUUUCAUGGCUAAAACAUCUGAAAGUGAUAAAUGUCUAAAUCAGACAUUUCCAAAGGAAUUUCUGUAGCCUGAAUUUCAUGGUGACCAUAGCACCACUGAUGGCUAGAAUCUGUAUUUUAGCGAUAAAGGAGGAGAAACAAGUUGAACUACAUUUUAAACUCCACAAGGAUAGAGACUUUAUCACACCACUAUGUACCCAAGCCUAAUCCAUAAUGGGCACUCAAAUACUUACUGAAUGACUAAAUGAAAAGAUGGAUGAACAUCUCUAUAAACUAUGGAAAGAAAAUGCUGAUAAAGCAUUUGCCAGAAAUUACUUCACUAGUG